UACGUAGGAGACGAGCGUUGUCCGGAGUUACUGGGCGUAAAGGGUCUGUAGGUGGCCAACUAAGUCAGACGUGAAAUCCCUCAGCUUAACUGGGGAACUGCGUCUGAUACUGGAUGGCUUGAGUGUGGGAGAGGAAUGCGGAAUUCCAGGUGUAGCGGUGAAAUGCGUAGAUAUCUGGAGGAACACCGGUGGCGAAGGCGGCAUUCUGGACCAUAACUGACACUGAGAGACGAAAGCCAGGGGAGCAAACGGG
rnacentral:rRNA from 1 species